GCCUGGGUGGCACAGCGGUUGAGCGUCUGCCUUCAGCUCAGGGUGUGAUCCCUGCGUUGUGGGAUCGAGCCCCACAUCAGGCU
rfam:Ailuropoda melanoleuca scaffold1873_2, whole genome shotgun sequence.